rnacentral:rRNA from 1 species
UACAGAGGUCUCGAGCGUUAUGCGGAAUCACUGGGCUUAAAGCGUGUGUAGGCGGAUCGUUAAGUGCCUUGUGAAAUCCCACGGCUUAACCGUGGAACUGCUUGGCAUACUGGCGAUCUUGAGCAACCUAGGGGCGAGCUGAACAAAUGGUGGAGCGGUGAAAUGCGUAGAUAUCAUUUGGAACGCCAAUGGUGAAAACAGCUCGCUGGUGGUUUGCUGACGCUGAGACACGAAAGCCAGGGUAGCAAACGGG